rnacentral:rRNA from 1 species
UACGAGGGGGGCGAGCGUUGUUCGGAAUUAUUGGGCGUAAAGGGCGCGUAGGCGGUGCGGUAAGUCACCUGUGAAACCUCUGGGCUCAACUCAGAGCCUGCAGGCGAAACUGCCGUGCUGGAGUGUGGGAGAGGUGCGUGGAAUUCCCGGUGUAGCGGUGAAAUGCGCAGAUAUCGGGAGGAACACCGGUGGCGAAGGCGGUUCUCUGGGCCUUACCUGACGCUGAGGAGCGAAAGCGUGGGGAGCGAACAGG